rnacentral:rRNA from 1 species
UACGUAGGGCGCAAGCGUUGUCCGGAAUUAUUGGGCGUAAAGAGCUCGUAGGCGGUUUGUCGCGUCUGCUGUGAAAACCUAAGGCUCAACCUUGGGCUUGCAGUGGGUACGGGCAGACUAGAGUGCGGUAGGGGUGACUGGAAUUCCUGGUGUAGCGGUGGAAUGCGCAGAUAUCAGGAGGAACACCGGUGGCGAAGGCGGUGGUCUGGGCCGGAACUGACGCUGAGGAGCGAAAGCGUGGGGAGCGAACAGG